rnacentral:rRNA from 1 species
UGGAAUGAUGGUGACCCAAACCCUCACCAGAGUAGCAAUUGGAGGGCAAGUCUGGUGCCAGCAGCCGCGGUAAUUCCAGCUCCAAUAGCGUAUAUUAAACUUGUUGCAGUUAAAAAGCUCGUAGUUGAACUUUAGCGUGUUCGAGUUUGCCAUUCGUUUGGCCUUUUCGAGUUCGCUUUUGGGUUUUCCCUUUUUACUUUGAGAAAAUUAGAGUGUUUCAAGCAGACUUUUGUCUUGAAUACUUCAGCAUGGAAUAAUAGAGUAGGACUUUGGUUCUAUUUUGUUGGUUAUUGAACCUUAGUAAUGGUUAAUAGGAACG